AAAUUGAAGAGUUUGAUCAUGGCUCAGAUUGAACGCUGGCGGCAGGCCUAACACAUGCAAGUCGAACGGUAACAGGAAGCAGCUUGCUGCUUCGCUGACGAGUGGCGGACGGGUGAGUAAUGUCUGGGAAACUGCCUGAUGGAGAGGGAUAACUACUGGAAACGGUGGCUAAUACCGCAUAACGUCGCAAGACCAAAGAGGGGGACCUUC
rnacentral:rRNA from 1 species